GAACAGAAUGAUGUAAUGAAGUCCAACGUUAUCUUCACCUAAAUUGCUUCCAGUGAUGUAACCAAGUGGCUAAAUUGCAUUCUGGGUAGUGCAGGUGUCAGGUUUUGAAAAAGUAGAAUAGGACGCCCCCUUAGAGAUGCAAACUAAUCCAUACAGAAAGUUAUUCAUCACUACUCAGGCGACAAGAACAUCCGAAACUGCUGAAAAAUAUUCUGGUUGCUUUCAGCUGGUUCAGUUUUGUUCAGUGGUUCUAACCUGCCACCCCAGUGUGGAAAAAAAAAAUCCUCUUCACAACACCAGGAAGAACCUCCAGAAGACUCCCACCAGACUGAAUCACCAGUCUGAGCAGUUAGCAACAAAUGUAAACAACCUGAACUUUGUGUCUACUGUUAGCCAAAUAUCUAGCUAAUGGAUGAUGUUGACGAUUUCUGAAGCCUCGUGUGUAUCAAAUUCUUGUUUUACAUGAGUAAAGUGCGCCUCCUCUGUUUUAAACCUUGAUCGUGGACAUAACAGGACCUCCAGUUAAGAGUAGUAACAUGUCACUGACUGCGGGGAAGCAUGCAGCUAACAGCAGAGCUAGCCAGCUAACAUUAGCUGCUAUAACACGCCUAAUCGCCACCGCGCUACUUGAAAAUACAGCAUAGACAAGUCGAUGUGUGCAUGAGUUGGAAAACUGCAUUAAGAACAUCAAAAGAUCCCUCACAGGUGCGACUAGGGUGCUCUGAUGAUUAUCACCCUGAUCUCCGUCACAUACGGGGCCCUGGUGUGCAGCGUCCUCGCUAUCAAGGAAUAGAGGGCAAUAUAUCUACAGAGUAACCGCUAACUGCUGCCAACUCUUGCUUUUGUUAGCUAGGUAGCUCAGUUAGCUGUAGCGGAAGGCUAGGAGUCCCGGGGAAGUGCUCGCACAGGAAGUAUGAUACCUGAUGUGCCGGGGCUAAACAUGCUAAACACUGCAGCACAACACACAGACGGCACAUUAUUCCCUCGCCAUCUGCUGAUCAUUUUAAUGAAGUCUUGGUUUUCAACCAAACUUUCGUGCAUCUUGCAAACUAAAGUCUCAUUAGCUUGCGAAGAAUUUGCCAAAUUUUGAAGCAGCUUUCGGUUUUCACCAGAUGUGCGACACAGCUCACAUGCAGACGGGAAUCAUGUUGCACUGAUUCAAAUCAGGACUCAUGUGCAAAGUGUACUUUUACUUAGAUGUUUUAUUUUGUAUCUUGUUGGAUAAGCAGUUCCACAUUACAACAAGCCUAGGCUACAAGCUGUUUAUAUACAUACACUUUACAUAGUAGUAGUGUUGUCAAAAAAAUGAUUGAAUGAUACAUAAUAAUUUUGAACACAAAUUUUCAGCAGAAUAUAGAUACACAUGUACCAGUAGCAAGUUGACAUUCACUGCUGCAUAACACAAAAGGGCGUCACUUUGUGUUGAAAAGUGGUGGGGACAUAAAAGCUCAGAUUAACAAUCUUCAACAUAUCAAAUUUAAGGCAAUGUAACGGGGAGAUUGCAUGUGGCCAGAGAAGAGAACUACUGUAUGGAUACAUAAUAUUAUGUAUGUUGAUAUUACAGUGCACAGUUCGCUGAUCACAUCACAUCACACCACUUUUAUCCAGUGGUGUUUCUUUUUUGACAUAAUUUCGUACCAGAAUCAGCAGCGGCCAGUUCACUCCAAUCUUUUUUUUAGAACAUUUGCAACAAAUUGUGCUUUUUCAAAGGCGGUGCGGACAAAUCUGCCCGUUAGAAACUGUCCCGAGCAUCCUAAAUGACACCUACGAGUUCACACAUACGCUUCCCUCCUCCCGCUCUUCUGACUAAAGUCAAAAGUAAAUGAACUUAGAUGCUGUUGUGCUCAACACACAUUACACAAGCCUUGUUGUAUUUAUCUUUUCAUUAAAGUCUCACUUUUUUC